UUUGUUUUAUAAUUAGUCUGGUUAUCUCCAGAUUCAUGCAGAUCCAUCUGUCAUAUCUCUGCAUAUAAGUCAAUGUUAGUGCAUCAGAUUGCUCAAUAACUGUUGAACUUUAUAAAACUAUUAGCAGAAACCUGGGUUUUAAAAAGCCCGAGGCGCACGAGGCGCAAACAUGCCUCGGAGCCUAGGCGCAGGGCUUUAAGCGCAGGCGCGGGCUUUUCGUAGGCGAGGCGCAGUAAAGCCUAAAAAAUUCUAAUAUAUUUACCUACAUUAUAUUUUAUACCAAAAACACAACUUAAAACCACAAAUAGUACUUAAACACACAUAUACUUAAUCCAAAACACACAAAUACUUAAUCCAAAACACACAAAUACUUAAGUUUUAAAAUACGCAAGUCUAAAAGUACGAUCAAAUAUCAAACAAGUAAUCAAAAAUCAUCAUCCUCAAGUCCAUCAUCCUCAAAUGUGUCAUCCCCAUCAUCUUUGAGAGUAAAACUGAAAUUAAAAAAUAAAAUUUAUUCAAUUAUAAAUUUAUAACAUCAAUCAAAACUGAAAUUAUAAAAAACAACUUCAAAAACUGACCUACAAUAUUGAAUAUGAAAGUUGAAACUCAAAAACUUCAAAAACUGAACUACAAUAUUGAAUUUGAAAGUUGAAACUCAAAAACAACUUCAAAAACUCACCUGGAGGCUGGCGGCGGCGGCGGCGGACGGCUGGGGCUGGCGGCGGCGGCGGCGCCGGCUGGCUGGCAGCGCCGGUAGGUGAGCAAAGAGGGGGAAGACGCAGAGGAGAGAAGAGAGGAGAAAGGAGGCUGCUGCUGCGUUUUUUUUUAAUUUUAAACAAAAGUGUAACUUUAUAACCCUAACCCUAAUUCUACGUAAGGCGCGCGCCUUAGUGAAAGUGCGCCUAGGCGCGCCUUUAGCGCUUUUGUGCGCCUCUGCUGCGCCUCUUGUAGGCUGCAGCGCCUGCCCUUAAAAAGCCCACCCCCCCUGCGCCUCGCUCAAGGCGCGCGCCUGGGCGCGCCCAGGCGCGCUUUUUCAAACCCAGGCAGAAACUAGUACAUCAGGUUGCUCCACCUUGAAGAUGUCUCUGUUUGUUAAACAAAUUAUUGUCAUAUCAAUGAUCUUUUUGGAUCUUAAUCAUUUGGAUACCGAUCAGGAACAAGCCGUUUCUGACCUUCACUACGUG
rnacentral:lncRNA from 1 species